rfam:Oryza meridionalis cultivar OR44 (W2112) chromosome 6, whole genome shotgun sequence.
AAAAAGGCAAACCGUAGGUUCCUUGUCAACGAUUGACUGUCCGUUUUAUAUGAACUUUUUAAUUAUUAAUAUUUUCAUUGUUGUUAGUUGAUAAAACAUGAUUAAUACUUUAUGCGUGACUUAUCUUUUUAUUUUUUUUAAAUAAGACGGACGGUCAAACGUUGGACACGGAAACCAGAGUUUGUCUUUUUU